rfam:Candidatus Contendobacter odensis Run_B_J11, WGS project CBTK01000000 data, contig: COMPJ11_2695_Contig_110
GUCAACUACCCCGCCCUAAAGGGUGAGGCUUGUGGUGGCUAAAACUGCAAGUCUGGGUUGACCAGCCCAAGCCGUAACCAACCGGCUCCGUUGCAACGAAGUACCCGACCGACGCCGGGGCGCUUCCUCAACUCCGGCCUCUCGAAGCGGCAGAUGCAGACAAACGACAGGGUAAGCACGAAACGGUCUGCUGCAUGGCGGAAAGCCAAAGCUGCGUUGCAACAUGGGCGAGGGGAGCGAAC